GUUUUUCAGGCAAUACUUGGUAAUACUCGAGCAUCAGAGAUCAUAAAGCUUGCUCCUUUUUGGCUCCAUUUACCAGUCGAGUCAAAAUAUUCACUUCCCAAUUAACGUGUUCUAGACAAUCAACAUCACAUUCUGCAUUGACAAGACAGCGGUU